rnacentral:rRNA from 1 species
GAUGAACGCUAGCUACAGGCUUAACACAUGCCAGUCGAGGGACCGGCGCACGGGUGAGUAACACGUAUCCAACCUGCCCUUUACUCGGGGAUAGCCUUUCGAAAGAAAGAUUAAUACCCGAUAUAAAGGAUGGGGAUGCGUUCAAUUAGGUUGUUGUUGAGGUAACGGCUCACCAAGCCUUCGAUGGCUAGGGGUUCUGAGAGGAAGGUCCCGCACAUUGGAACUGAGACACGGUCCAAACUCCUACGGGCGGCAGAAGUGAGGUAUAGUGGUCAAUGGGCGCUAGCCUGAACCAGCCAAGUAGCGUGAAGGAUGAAGGCUUAUGGGUCGUAAACUUCUUUUAUAUAAGAAUAUGUAUUAUAUGAAUAAGGAUCGGCUAACUCCGUGCCAGCAGCCGCGGUAAUAC